UGGCGAUGAUGACUAUCUUAGGACACCUUUGGAUUCAAAGAUGAAACAAAUCAUUGAUCUGAGUCAC